rnacentral:rRNA from 1 species
UACAUGGGGUGCAAACGUUGCUCGGAAUCAUUGGGCGUAAAGCGCACGUAGGCGGUUACUUAAGUCGGAUGUGAAAGCCCUCGGCUCAACUGAGGAAGUGCACCCGAAACUGAGUAGCUAGAGUACGAAAGAGGGUCGCGGAAUUCCCGGUGUAGAGGUGAAAUUCGUAGAUAUCAGGAGGAACACCGGUGGCGAAGGCGGGUCUCUGGGCAACUACUGACGCUGAGGAGCGAAAGCGUGGGGAGCGAACAGG